rnacentral:rRNA from 1 species
CCUACGGGCGGCAGCAGUGGGGAAUAUUGGACAAUGGGGGGAACCCUGAUCCAGCCAUGCCGCGUGUGUGAAGAAGGCCCUCGGGUUGUAAAGCACUUUCAGUGAGGAAGAACGCCUGGUGGUUAAUACCCAUCAGGAAAGACAUCACUCACAGAAGAAGCACCGGCUAACUCCGUGCCAGCAGCCGCGGUAAUACGGAGGGUGCGAGCGUUAAUCGGAAUUACUGGGCGUAAAGCGCGCGUAGGUGGCUUGAUAAGCCGGUUGUGAAAGCCCCGGGCUCAACCUGGGAACGGCAUCCGGAACUGUCAAGCUAGAGUGCAGGAGAGGAAGGUAGAAUUCCCGGUGUAGCGGUGAAAUGCGUAGAGAUCGGGAGGAAUACCAGUGGAGAAGGCGGCCUUCUGGACUGACACUGACACUGAGGUGCGAAAGCGUGGGUAGCAAACAGGAUUAGAUACCCCGGUAGUC